UUCUUGCAGCCCAAGCUUUCCCUGGUUAUUAGGCAUGCCCAGUUGUGUGGAGCACUCCGUCUUCGGCUGAGGUGCGGUGAAAGGAGAGAGCGGGAAAAACACCCGUUAGCAGAGAAGCUCGGGUCCAAGACAGCAAGGGAGAUGGAGAUGAAGACUGAGCGGCUGAGAGAAUGAGAAAGCACCAGGGAAAGUAUCAGGUAUGGAAAUGAAGGCGGAGACGGAGAAGUUCAGUGACCCAGAAGUAACAAAUACAAUCUCCUUGGCGCCAUCCAUGUUCAUCCCACCCAGAGACUGAGUGUAUGUUACCAUGGGGCCAUGGUGCACUAAGAAGAUAGUAUGGAGAUCUGUCCGAGGGCUGAUUUUAUUAUACAAUGUCUCGGGAUAUCCAGGUCAUUAUAAAUAUGAAGAAACGUCCUUCUUGCUUCUUCCCUCCAUGUGCUCCUUGUGAUGACUGGAGCUCUAGCAGUCAUCAUGGACCAUGAGCUUGAGAAUCAUACCAAAUGGAAAGGCACACAACAAACUUUUUGAAGCAAUGAUUUUUGGGCGGAUUUCUGUUAUUGCAGCCAAUACCUAAUGCAGGAGACUGAUGUAAUCAAAUAAGAGAUAGCAAUAGCCUGUACUAUCACAAUAGUGGAUAUGGAGAGAAAAGGACAUGUUCAAGAUGUAUUUUGAAGGUCGAGAACAAAGGAGUUAACAAUAGACUGGAUACGGCAGGGUGAGGGAAAUAGAAAUGUCAAAAAUUAAUCCAAGAUAAGUGACCUGAACCACCACGAACAACCAUUUGAUAGAUGGUGUCAUCAUUACUGAAUGGGGACAAACUGAAGAGGCAAGACUUGAGAAGAAAUAAAGACUUCACUUUGGAUGUAUUUCAGAAAUAUGAAGUCCUUCCAUCAUAUUUGUUUUAAAUCUGUGCUAAAUCUAUGAAGCAAUGUAUAUAUACCUUCAGAAAUGAAGGUAUUCACUAAAUUCAUCAUAACAUUCAUAAUUAAUCAUAAUUUCACCAGAAGAUCUAUAACCAUGAGUUUAGGAAUUUUCACUGAACCUGAGCUGUUUCUUUUUUAUUUUUUUUUCCUUUAUCUUACUCAUAAGUAGAUUAAGUUGCAGUGCAAACAUGCCAUUUCCUUUUGGUUGUUAUGUAUUCUAGAGGAAAAAAGAGAACACCCAAACAGGACCUAUAUUUAAACCAGAAGCUUCUCUCAUUUUUCUCUAAAGGGAAUACUAAUGUUUUUGAAAGCUAGUGAUUUACAAUGUUAUCUAAUUCAAACCUUAGUCAUAGGGCUUGUCAUCAUCAUUUUCCAGAUGGGUAACUUAGAGAAGUUAAGAAAUGUCACCAAGGUUACAAAGCUGGAAUAAAGCAGAACAAAAAUUCAAAGCUAAUCUGCCACAUCCCGAGGUCUGUGUUCCUACUGCUAAAAAUUGCUUCUCUCUUGCAUGUUCAUCCUAUAAAUAAAGCCAAACAGAUUCCAAGA